ACUUUGGUAUGCUAAAAAUCAGAACUAAAUUGGAAACCAUGCAAAUAUUAGCAUGGUCCCUGGGCCAAGAUGACAUGCAAAUGCAUGAAGCGUUCCAUAUUUUU